UACAGAGGGGGCAAGCGUUGUUCGGAAUUACUGGGCGUAAAGGGCGCGUAGGCGGCCUGCUAAGUCGAACGUGAAAUCCCUGGGCUCAACCCAGGAACUGCGUCCGAUACUGGUUGGCUUGAAUCCGGGAGAGGGAUGCGGAAUUCCAGGUGUAGCGGUGAAAUGCGUAGAUAUCUGGAGGAACACCGGUGGCGAAGGCGGUAUCCUGGACCGGCAUUGACGCUGAGGCGCGAAAGCCAGGGGAGCAAACGGG
rnacentral:rRNA from 1 species